GGCUACCACAUCUAAGGAAGGCAGCAGGCGCGUAAAUUACCCAAUCCUGACUCAGGGAGGUAGUGACAAGAAAUAGCAAACCGGGAACCUCAUGGUUUCACGGUAUUGCAAUGAGAACAAUUUAAAACCCUUAGCGAGAAUCAAGUGGAGGACAAGUCUGGUGCCAGCACCCGCGGUAAUUCCAGCUCCACUAGCGUAUAUUAAAGUUGUUGCAGUUAAAAAGCUCGUAGUUGAACCUCUGUCUGGGGCUAGUUUUGGCUUUGGUCAGGCUAGUUCUAGGCAUCCGCCUACAAGACUUAGAGGGCAUUCAGUUGUUCACUAGGAGGAGUAGGCAUUUUACUUUGAAAAAAUUAGAGUGUUUAAGGCAGGCAAUCGCCCGCAUAUAUUAGCAUGGAAUAAUAGAAUAGGACACUUUUCCAUUUCGUUGGUUAUUGGAAUCGUGUAAUGAUUAAUAGGGACAGUUGUGGGCAUUUGUAUUUAAUUGUCAGAGGUGAAAUUCUUGGAUUUAUUGAAGACAAACUAACGCGAAAGCAUUUGCCAAGGAUGUUUUCAUUAAUCAAGAACGAAAGUUAGGGGAUCAAAGACGAUCAGAUACCGUCCUAGUCUUAACUAUAAACUAUUCCGACUCAAUGUUUGACUGGCUUAUAUAACCAGUUGAGCGUUGUAUGAGAAAUCAAAGUCUUUAGGUUCUGGGGGGAGUAUGGUUGCAAAGCUGAAACUUAAAGGAAUUGACGGAAGAGCACAACCAGGAGUGGAUUCUGCGGCUUAAUUUGACUCAACACGGGGAAACUUACCAGGUUAAAACAAUAGUGGGAUUGACAGUUUGAGAGCGCUUUCUUGAUUGGUUGGGUGGUGGUGCAUGGCCGUUCUUAGUUGGUGGAGUGAUUUGUCCGCUUAAUUGCGUUAACGAACGAGACCUUAACCUGCUUACUAGACUGGCGAUCAUCAAUCGUUAGCUCUUCUUAGAGGGACUUUGGUUGUUUUAACUCCAAGGAAGUUUGAGGCAAUAACAGGUCUGUGAUGCCCUUAGAUAUCCUGGGCCGCACGCGUCAUACAAUGACUAGUUCAGAAAGUUUUCUCCUGACCCGAAAGGGGAUGGGUAAUCUUGAUAAUACUAGUCGUGUUAGGGAUCGAUCUUUGCAAUUAUAGAUCUUGAACGAGGAAUUCCUAGUAAGUGCGGUUCAUCAGACCGUACUGAUUACGUCCCUGCUCUUUGUACACACCGCCCGUCGCUUCUACCGAGUGGGUGGUCCGGUGAGAUAAUUGAACUUCGCAGGUAACUGAGAGGAAAGAUUAUCAAACCUAUCCACCUCGAGGAAGAAGAAGUCGUAACAAGGUU
rnacentral:rRNA from 1 species